AGGAUUUGACAUGGAAGAGACGUGUCCAGAAAUGGGCAUUCCCGCAAGGGCUAUGGCAC
rnacentral:rRNA from 1 species